GUAAAGGGUGCGUAGACGGGAAAUUAAGUUAGUUGUGAAAUCCCUCGGCUUAACUGAGGAACUGCAACUAAAACUGGUUUUCUUGAGUGCUGGAGAGGAAAGUGGAAUUCCUAGUGUAGCGGUGAAAUGCGUAGAUAUUAGGAGGAACACCAGUGGCGAAGGCGACUUUCUGGACAGUAACUGACGUUGAGGCACGAAAGUGUGGGGAGCAAACAGGAUUAGAUACCCUGGUAGUCCACACCGUAAACGAUGGAUACUAGGUGUAGGGUGUGAUAAACAUUCUGUGCCGUCGCAAACGCAAUAAGUAUCCCACCUGGGGAGUACGGCCGCAAGGUUGAAACUCAAAGGAAUUGACGGGGGCCCGCACAAGCAGUGGAGUAUGUGGUUUAAUUCGACGCAACGCGAAGAACCUUACCAGGGCUUGACAUAUACAGGAAUAUAUAAGAGAUUAUAUAGCUCUUCGGAGUCUGUAUACAGGUGGUGCAUGGUUGUCGUCAGCUCGUGUCGUGAGAUGUUGGGUUAAGUCCCGCAACGAGCGCAACCCUUAUUGUUAGUUGCCAUCAUUCAGUUGGGCACUCUAGCGAGACUGCCGGUAAUAAACCGGAGGAAGGUGGGGAUGACGUCAAAUCAUCAUGCCCCUUAUGACCUGGGCUACACACGUGCUACAAUGGUUGGUACAACGAGUCGCAAGUCGGUGACGGCAAGCAAAUCUCUUAAAGCCAAUCUCAGUUCGGAUUGUAGGCUGCAACUCGCCUACAUGAAGUCGGAAUCG
rnacentral:rRNA from 1 species